UUUAUCGUUAGUACUUUAUGUGUACAAUAAGAUACAAUGAAGGGUUAUUUUUUGGUCUUUGCCGUCGUCCUGCUGUUCGCAGCGUUCGCAUUUGCUGAUCCUGUUUAUGAUGAUGUAGAGAGUGAAGGAAUCUUAUCGCGCAUGCGCAGAGCUAAAUGCGACUUCAACGCCUGUGACCGCUGGUGCCGCCAACUGAAGUUCCCGGGAGGCGCAUGCGUCGGUGACAAAUGCGAUUGUGAUCGUUGGUGACUCAGAAACAUUCGGUUGGUUUAACAUUUAAUAUGUUUUUGUUAUCUCAUUAAAAUUCUAUAUUAAUGUAA